CCGAACACGGAAGUUAAGCUCUUUAGCGCCGAUGGUAGUUGGGGGUUUCCCCCUGUGAGAGUAGGACGUUGCUAGGC
rnacentral:rRNA from 2 species